AUUGUGUUAGUUUGAACCCGGUAAAUGUACCAGGUAUUUAUUUCAAAUAUAGGUACUACGGUAUUGCUGGUAGAUUAAAAUGAGAGCAUACAGUAGUUACACCAAUAUCUGAUUAACGUUAUAGAUUGUAGCUAGCUAGCUUUGUUUCUAUCUCCAGGCUAACUCUUUCCUCCCACCUCCAGCUAGCUAGCCUUGUUCUGCUUCUGUCAGCUAACCUUGUCAGCUCAUCCUUCUGUUUCUUCCAGUAUCGGAUCCUCCUGGGGUCAAUGUUGAAAUGUCUCGCAGCUUUUUCACCCUAAAUUUCCUCCGCAUACUUUAAAACUUUUUUGGUUUUGUUUUCAGUAAGUUGUUGAAA